UGAGUAACCUGCCCUUAACUCUGGGAUAAGCCUGGGAAACUGGGUCUAAUACCGGAUGUCCCCACCAAGCCACAUGACUCGGUGAGGAAAUGGAUUCCGCUUCGGGAGGGGCUCGCGGGCUAUCAGCUUGUUGGUGGGGUAACGGCCUACCAAGGCGACGACGGGUAGCUGGUCUGAGAGGACGACCAGCCACACUGGAACUGAGAUACGGUCCAGACUCCUACGGGAGGCAG
rnacentral:rRNA from 1 species